rnacentral:rRNA from 1 species
GGCUCACCUAUAUAAGUUAUCGUUUAUUUGAUAGCACCUUACUACUUGGAUAACCGUGGUAAUUCUAGAGCUAAUACAUGCUGAAAACCCCGACUUCGGGAGGGGUGUAUUUAUUAGAUUAAAAACCAAUGCCCCCUGGGCUCUCUGGUGAUUCAUGAUAACUUCGCGAAUCGCAUGGCCUUGCGCCGGCGAUGGUUCAUUCAAAUUUCUUCCCUAUCAACUUUCGAUGUUUGGGUAGUGGCCAAACAUGGUUGCAACGGGUAACGGAGGGUUAGGGCUCGACCCCGGAGAAGGAGCCUGAGAAACGGCUACUACAUCCAAGGAAGGCAGCAGGCGCGCAAAUUACCCAAUCCCGACACGGGGAGGUAGUGACAAUAAAUACUGAUACAGGGCUCUUUUGGGUCUUGUAAUUGGAAUGAGUACAAUUUAAAUCCCUUAACGAGGAACAAUUGGAGGGCAAGUCUGGUGCCAGCAGCCGCGGUAAUUCCAGCUCCAAUAGCGUAUAUUAAAGUUGUUGUGGUUAAAAAGCUCGUAGUUGAACCUUGGGCCUGGCUGGCCGGUCCGCCUCACCGCGUGCACUGGUCCGGCCGGGCCUUUCCCUCUGCGGAACCCCAUGCCCUUCACUGGGCGUGGCGGGGAAACAGGACUUUUACUUUGAAAAAAUUAGAGUGCUCCAGGCAGGCCUAUGCUCGAAUACAUUAGCAUGGAAUAAUGAAAUAGGACGCGCGGUUCUAUUUUGUUGGUUUCUAGGACCGCCGUAAUGAUUAAUAGGGACAAUCGGGGGCAUCAGUAUUCAAUUGUCAGAGGUGAAAUUCUUGGAUCUAUUGAAGACUAACUACUGCGAAAGCAUUUGCCAAGGAUGUUUUCAUUAAUCAGGAACGAAAGUUAGGGGAUCGAAGACGAUCAGACACCGUCGUAGUCUUAACCAUAAACUAUGCCGACUAGGGAUCGGACGAGGUCG